AUCGCUUCUCAGCCUUUUGGCUGAGAUUAAGUAUAGUAUCUGUUCUUAUCAGUUUAAAAUUGCACCAAAAAUAUAAAUACAUAAGAAUAAACCUGAA
rnacentral:snRNA from 1 species